rnacentral:miRNA from 1 species
UAGUUGUGUGUGCAUGUUUAUGU